ensembl:snoRNA U3 Small nucleolar RNA U3
AAGACAAUGCUUGCAGGGAUCAUUUCUAUAGCCCACUGCUACAGAAGUUUCCCUGAACAUGUGGAACACCAGAAACCACAGGCGGCCGCGCGGCGCUCUCCGGAGGCUGACACUGGCUCUGGGUGCUGCUUCACUGCAACUCCAUUUGCCAUUGAGAACCGUUUCGCUCUUCCUCUGGGAAAGUAAGAGAGAGAGGAUGCAGUCUGAGGGGG